UCCACUAAUCCGCAACGUGAAUGAAGUUAAUUUCCAUGGUAGGCCUCAUCUUGGCCUUGUCUGGGGCUGCUUUGGGCCUAAGACAUAAAAUCUGUGGUCAAGAGCCAGCCAACAGCGGCCGUUGCCGUGCCUUAAUAGAAUCUUAUACCUAUUAUUCCGACACGAACGAGUGUGCAUUGUUCGAUUACGGCGGAUGCGAGGGGAACGAGAAUCGUUUCAUGAGGAAAGCGGAAUGCGAGUCAAAAUGCAGAGAAUAAUUCAUUGUUUUUUAUUCUUAGUUCAUCAAAAGUUGUACGAAUAAACGGAUAUUCAAUUGAUAAA